GGCCGGUUAGCUCAGCUGGUUAGAGCGUGGUGCUAAUAACGCCAAGGUCGCGGGUUCGACCCCUGUACUGGCCA
rnacentral:tRNA from 1 species